rnacentral:lncRNA from 13 species
GGGGUACCCACCAGGCCUGGGAGCUGGCAGGGGACAUGGGUCUUCCCGGCUGCAAUUCCACCAGCUUCAGCCUGACCCCUACCGGCCCUCCUCACCCCAGCUUGCGGGCACCUAAAGCCCCAGACGCUACCGCUGACAUGGGGCGCCACGAGUUCACCUAUGCGCUGAUGCCGCACAAGUGAUGCUGGCGUUAUCCAAGCUGCCUACAGCCUCAGCUUCCCCCUGUUGGCUCUGCCGGUCCCGUGCCGAGCGCCCGCCACCUCCUGGAGUGCCUUUUCCCUGUCUUCACCCGCUGUCGUGUCGGAGACGGUCAAGCAGGCUGAGAGCAGUCCCCAGAGCCGCUCGCUGGUCCUGAGGUUGUAUGAGUCCCACGGCAGCCACGCGGACUGCUGGCUGCACCUGUCACUGCCAGUUCAGGAGACAAUUCUGUGAGUGGCGCCAUGA